rnacentral:lncRNA from 1 species
GAAGAACAAACCCUAGGUGAGGAAUUUCAAGAGAAAAAGUGUGGAAAAUCAAGGAAAACAAGUGAAAAAGGUAAGAUUUUUCAACUUAAGCUUGAAAUCUAUUUUCCUUAAGCAUUUCUCCUUAUUUUCCAUGCUUAAAUUACAUGUUUUUAUGAUGAAUUGUUGGCUGAUCAAAAUGGGUUAGGAGAGAGAAAGUUGUUGGAUUAAUUUGAUUUUAAUUUAUGUUAGUGUUUUUAGUUAGUUUAGCAUAUUUAGAAACAAAACAACAAGAAAAGAAUUUAUUUUCUCCCCCAACCAUUAAUGGCUGAAUUUACCAUGUAGUGAGUGAGGAUGAGUUUGAUUUUAUUCUAGGAGAAUUGGUUAAGGAAUAAUGAAUUAUGAGCCUAGAAAAAUAAUGGGAAUUUUCGGAGCAAAAAUACGAAUUUUUACCCACUAGGGGUAUUUUCGUAAUUUGCUGUUGGGACUGAUAAUUUGCACCACACUGAGGGACAUUAAGUUAAUUUGGGUGCAAUUGAGGUAUAGAAACUGAAAAGAAUUAAAUUGGAGUUUAAACGGACCCGUUAGGAAUUUAAUCGGGUGAUAAGACGAAUUAGGCCAAUACCGGGUUUAGAUAGUUACCAGUGCAUUUUUGCAUUCCAUAUCAUGCAUUGGUAGUCUAAAUUAGUUUAAUUUUGAUUUAGUACCAACUUGGUGAAACUCUCGAUUUUGUACUGUGUCAAGGUGGUGAGUCCUCCGAUAAAGGCAAGAAAAUUGCAUCCGAGGACCAGUAGACAGAGUGCUUCGAAAGUCUGCAUUCUAGACAUUGUGAGUAAACUUACUGUCAUUUUAAUUAUCUAGGGUGGUUUUUAGAUGCUUUCAUGAAUUCUAUGGAAAAAGGAAUUUAAAAAGAUAAAUUUUCAUGUUUUAUGAAUAAAUGAGUUUCAAUGAAAUUAAAUUAUAAAUUGUUUUGAAAUUAAUAGUGAUUUUGAAAAAUAGAGUACACGGAGACUGUUAAUUGUGGCAAUUUGAUUGUUUAAAUUAACUGGCUUAUGAUAAAUCGAGCAUGAUUGGCUAGUUGGCAAUUGUAUUGAAAUGCGAAUUGUUUGGUUACCUUGAAAAACUACGAAUUACAAAAUUGCCAUAUCAUGUUAUUGAGUUUUAUUAUAUGGUGGAUUAUAUAUUAAUUAAUCACUGCAGUAGGGGGUUUCUGUGGACCAGCCUUUUAGAGGGGCACGGUAAACCCCAUUAUAUUCUUACCUCGAACGGAGAGGCGCGUAGGGUAUCUCCUGGGGUAAAGUUUAGGGUUCACUUCACGCUAAACCACCACGUGAGGGGGAACUCAGCCAACGCCAAGGAACGGCUAUGUUUUCAAAACAAAAACAUGAUUUAUGUGAAAUGUGAAUUUUAAUAGCCUUGGCGGUCUCGGUAGGAUGCCUCGGCCAAGGUGUCCCCGAGAAUGGAUUUAUGGCACAAGCCUAGAUUUUUAUGAGAUUCAUAAGCCUCUUUACGUGUUUUGAACAAAAUGUGUUCUAAUGCUAUAACCCAGUUUAUGAUGAUUUACUUUAUUGUCUCCAUGUACUCAACUCUAGAUGUUUAUGAUGAUGUUUGUUUACUCAUUGGGAUUUUAUAAUCUCACCACCCUCCUUUCCACCCAUUUCAGGUUCAGUAUAGACUGUAGAUAGCUGAUCUCAUCGAGGACUACAGUGGGAUCUGCAUUUUCCAAACCGUAGGUUCACAGUCCUCUUUACUUUUGUUUAUUCGGGGGCACUCUUGUUAUUGUAAAUUAAAUUAAAUAUUUUGGCUUACUGUAUUUAAGUAUGUAUAAAUUUAUUUAGCUUUUACGUUAUAAAAAUUAUUCACGUAUAACUCUAUAAAUAUUGUUUUAUAAGAAAAUAGAA